rnacentral:rRNA from 1 species
GCUAAGCAUAUCAAUAAGCGGAGGAAAAGAAACCAACAGGGAUUGCCCUAGUAACGGCGAGUGAAGCGGCAACAGCUCAAAUUUGAAAUCUGGCUCUUUUAGGGUCCGAGUUGUAAUUUGCAGAGGGCGCUUUGGCGUUGGCAGCGGUCCAAGUUCUUUGGAACAGGACGUCACAGAGGGUGAGAAUCCCGUACGUGGUCGCUAGCCUUCGCCGUGUAAAGCCCCUUCGACGAGUCGAGUUGUUUGGGAAUGCAGCUCUAAAUGGGAGGUAAAUUUCUUCUAAAGCUAAAUACUGGCCAGAGACCGAUAGCGCACAAGUAGAGUGAUCGAAAGAUGAAAAGCACUUUGGAAAGAGAGUCAAAUAGCACGUGAAAUUGUUGAAAGGGAAGCGCUUGCAGCCAGACUUGCCUGUAGUUGCUUAUCCGGACUUUUGUCCGGUGCACUCUUCUGCGGGCAGGCCAGCAUCAGUUUAGGCGGUUGGAUAAAGGUCUCUAUCACGUACCUCCCUUCGGGGUUGGCCUUAUAGGGGAGACGACAUGCAACCAGCCUGAACUGAGGUCCGCGCAUCUGCUAGGAUGCUGGCGUAAUGGCUGUAAGCGGCCCGUCUUGAAACACGGACCAAGGAGUCUAACAUCUAUGCGAGUGUUUGGGUGUCAAGCCCAGACGCGUAAUGAAAGUGAACGGAGGUGGGAACCUUUUAGGUGCACCAUCGACCGAUCCUGAUGUCUUCGGAUGGAUUUGAGUAAGAGCAUGGCUGUUGGGACCCGAAAGAUGGUGAACUAUGCUUGAAUAGGGUGAAGCCAGAGGAAACUCUGGUGGAGGCUCGCAGCGGUUCUGACGUGCAAAUCGAUCGUCAAAUUUGGGCAUAGGGGCGAAAGAC